GAUGAACGCUGGCGGCGUGCCUAAUACAUGCAAGUCGAGCGAACGGACGAGAAGCUUGCUUUUCUGAUGUUAGCGGCGGACGGGUGAGUAACACGUGGAUAACCUACCUAUAAGACUGGGAUAACUUCGGGAAACCGGAGCUAAUACCGGAUAAUAUUUUGAACCGCAUGGUUCAAAAGUGAAAGACGGUCUUGCUGUCACUUAUAGAUGGAUCCGCGCUGCAUUAGCUAGUUGGUAAGGUAACGGCUUACCAAGGCAACGAUGCAUAGCCGACCUGAGAGGGUGAUCGGCCACACUGGAACUGAGACACGGUCCAGACUCCUACGGGAGGCAGCAGUAGGGAAUCUUCCGCAAUGGGCGAAAGACUGACGGAGCAACGCAGCGUGAGUGAUGAAGGGCUUCGGAUCGUAAAACUCUGUUAUUAGGGAAGAACAGAUGUGUAAGUAACUGUGCACAUCUUGACGGUACCUAAUCAGAAAGCCACGGCUAACUACGUG
rnacentral:rRNA from 1 species